rnacentral:rRNA from 1 species
UACGGAGGAUGCAAGCGUUAUCCGGAAUGAUUGGGCGUAAAGCGUCCGCAGGUGGCAAUGUAAGUCUGCUGUCAAAGCGUCUGGCUCAACCAGAUAAAGGCAGUGGAAACUACAUAGCUAGAGUAAGGUAGGGGUAGAGGGAAUUCCUGGUGUAGCGGUGAAAUGCGUAGAGAUCAGGAAGAACACCGGUGGCGAAAGCGGCGUCCUGGGGUGAGGUUGACGCUCAGACACGAAAGCAUGGGGAGCGAACGGG